rnacentral:rRNA from 1 species
AGUGAACGCUGGCGGUAGGCCUAACACAUGCAAGUCGAACGGCAGCACAGUAAGAGCUUGCUCUUACGGGUGGCGAGUGGCGGACGGGUUAGGAAUACAUCGGAAUCUACUUUUUCGUGGGGGAUAACGUAGGGAAACUUACGCUAAUACCGCAUACGACCUACGGGUGAAAGCAUGGUAUCUUCGGACCUUGCUCGAUUGAAUGAGCCGAUGUCGGAUUAGCUAGUUGGCGGGGUAAAGGCCCACCAAGGCGACGAUCCGUAGCUGGUCUGAGAGGAUGAUCAGCCACACUGGAACUGAGACACGGUCCAGACUCCUACGGGAGGCAGCAGUGGGGAAUAUUGGACAAUGGGCGGAAGCCUGAUCCAGCCAUACCGCGUGGGUGAAGAAGGCCUUCGGGUUGUAAAGCCCUUUUGUUGGGAAAGAAAAGCAGCAGGUUAAUACCCCGCUGUUCUGACGGUACCCAAAGAAUAAGCACCGGCUAACUUCGUG